AGUGAGCGCUGGCGGUAGGCCUAACACAUGCAAGUCGAACGGCAGCACAGUAAGAGCUUGCUCUUACGGGUGGCGAGUGGCGGACGGGUGAGGAAUACAUCGGAAUCUACUUUUUCGUGGGGGAUAACGUAGGGAAACUUACGCUAAUACCGCAUACGACCUACGGGUGAAAGCAGGGGAUCUUCGGACCUUGCGCGAUUGAAUGAGCCGAUGUCGGAUUAGCUAGUUGGCGGGGUAAAGGCCCACCAAGGCGACGAUCCGUAGCUGGUCUGAGAGGAUGAUCAGCCACACUGGAACUGAGACACGGUCCAGACGCCUACGGGAGGCAGCAGUGGGGAAUAUUGGACAAUGGGCGCAAGCCUGAUCCAGCCAUACCGCGUGGGUGAAGAAGGCCUUCGGGUUGUAAAGCCCUUUUGUUGGGAAAGAAAAGCAGCAGGUUAAUACCCCGCUGUUCUGACGGUACCCAAAGAAUAAGCACCGGCUAACUUCGUG
rnacentral:rRNA from 1 species